rnacentral:rRNA from 1 species
AUUGAACGCUGGCGGCAUGCCUUACACAUGCAAGUCGAACGGCAGCAUGAUCUAGCUUGCUCGGUUGAUGGCGAGUGGCGAACGGGUGAGUAAUACAUCGGAACGUGCCCUGUAGUGGGGGAUAACUAGUCGAAAGAUUAGCUAAUACCGCAUACGACCUGAGGGUGAAAGUGGGGGACCGCAAGGCCUCAUGCUAUAGGAGCGGCCGAUGUCUGAUUAGCUAGUUGGUGAGGUAAAGGCUCACCAAGGCGACGAUCAGUAGCUGGUCUGAGAGGACGAUCAGCCACACUGGGACUGAGACACGGCCCAGACUCCUACGGGAGGCAGCAGUGGGGAAUUUUGGACAAUGGGCGAAAGCCUGAUCCAGCAAUGCCGCGUGUGUGAAGAAGGCCUUCGGGUUGUAAAGCACUUUUGUCCGGAAAGAAAUGGCUCUGGUUAAUACCUGGGGUCGAUGACGGUACCGGAAGAAUAAGGACCGGCUAACUACGUG